rnacentral:rRNA from 1 species
AAUCCAUAGGUUAAUGAGGCGAACCGGGGGAACUGAAACAUCUAAGUACCCCGAGGAAAAGAAAUCAACCGAGAUUCCCCCAGUAGCGGCGAGCGAACGGGGAGGAGCCCAGAGCCUGAAUCAGCAUGUGUGUUAGUGGAAGCGUCUGGAAAGGCGCGCGAUACAGGGUGACAGCCCCGUACACAAAAGCGCAUGUGCUGUGAGCUCGAUGAGUAGGGCGGGACACGUGGUAUCCUGUCUGAAUAUGGGGGGACCAUCCUCCAAGGCUAAAUACUCCUGACUGACCGAUAGUGAACCAGUACCGUGAGGGAAAGGCGAAAAGAACCCCGGCGAGGGGAGUGAAAAAGAACCUGAAACCGUGUACGUACAAGCAGUGGGAGCACAGGUUUACCUGUGUGACUGCGUACCUUUUGUA